UUGUCCCUGCUGUACUCGUGACUUGGCCAUAUAUUCUCUGAACCAAUGCUUAGGCAGAUCAGGUUGCAGGAUGUUUGACCGGUGUGCAUGUCUCACUGCAGACGUACCUAAAGUCUUACGGAAUGCGGCCAACUUGAACCCAAGGUUCGAGAUGCCGGCCUAGACGGUACAUGCGGGGCAUUU
rnacentral:other from 1 species